UAAAAGAAAAGAAGAAAAAAAAAGAAUAUACUGACAUCGUAUCAAGCGAUCAACCUGUUCAAUAAACUGUUUAAAACAGAUAGUCACCCUAUCAAGACUGAGAUUCCAGAUGUUUUUAUUUAAAAAGGCUUAAAAGAGGUGCUCAACUCACAGCUGCUUUAAGAGGCUCUGCUCAGCUCGCCUCGUAUGUGUGUGCGCAAGUGUGUGAGUGUGUGUAACAUCGUAUUAGGCGAUCAAACUGUUCAAUAAACUGCUUAAAACAGAUAGUCACCCUAUCAAGACUGAGAUUCCAGAUGUUUUUAUUUAAAAAGGCUUAAAAGAGGUGCUCAACUCACAGCUGCUUUAAGAGGCUCUGCUCAGCUCGCCUCGUAUGUGUGUGCGCAAGUGUGUCAGUGUGUGUAACAUCGUAUCAGGCGAUCAAACUGUUCAAUAAACUGUUUAAAACAGAUAGUCACCCGAUUAAUACUGAGAUUCUAGAUGUUUUUUAUUUAAAAAGGCUUAAAAGAGGUGCUCAACUCACGGCUGCUUUAAGAGGCUCUGCUCAGCUCGCCUCGUAUGUGUGUGCGCAAGUGUGUGAGUGUGUGUAACAUCGUAUCAGGCGAUCAAACUGUUCAAUAAACUGUUUAAAACAGAUAGUCACCCGAUUAAUACUGAGAUUCUAGAUGUUUUUUUAUUUAAAAAGGCUUAAAAGAGGUGCUCAACUCACGGCUGAUUUAAGAGGCUCUGCUCAGCUCGCCUCUUAUGUGUGUGCGCAAGUGUGUGAGUGUGUGUAACAUCGUAUUAGGCGAUCAAACUGUUCAAUAAACUGUUUCAGACAGAUAGUCACCUGAUUAAUACUGAGAUUCUAGAUGUUUUUUUAUUUAAAAAGGCUUAAAAGAGGUGCUCAACUCACGGCUGCUUUAAGAGGCUCUGCUCGGCUCGACUAGUAUGUGUGUGCGCAAGUGUGUGAGUGUGUGUAACAUCGUAUCAGGCGAUCAAACUGUUCAAUAAACUGUUUAAAACAGAUAGUCACCCGAUUACUACUGAGAUUCUAGAUGUUUUUUAUUUAAAAAGGCUUAAAAGAGGUGCUCAACUCACGGCUGCUUUAAGAGGCUCGCCUCGCCUCGUAUGUGUGUGCGCAAGUGUGUGAGUGUGUGUAACAUCGUAUCAGGCGAUCAAACUGUUCAAUAAACUGUUUAAGACAGAUAGUCUCCCGAUCAAGACUGAGAUUCCAGAUGUUUUUAUUUAAAAAGGCUUAAAAGAGGUGCUCAACUCACGGCUGCUUUAAGAGGCUCUGCUCAGCUCGCCUCUUAUGUGUGUGCGCAAGUGUGUGAGUGUGUGUAACAUCGUAUCAGGCGAUCAAACUGUUCAAUAAACUGUUUAAAACAGAUAGUCACCCGAUUAAUACUGAGAUUCUAGAUGUUUUUUAUUUAAAAAGGCUUAAAAGAGGUGCUCAACUCACGGCUGCUUUAAGAGGCUCGCCUCGCCUCGCCUCGUAUGUGUGUGCGCAAGUGUGUCAGUGUGUGUAACAUCGUAUCAGGCGAUCAAACUGUUCAAUAAACUGUUUAAAACAGAUAGUCACCCGAUUAAUACUGAGAUUCUAGAUGUUUUUUAUUUAAAAAGGCUUAAAAGAGGUGCUCAACUCACGGCUGCUUUAAGAGGCUCGCCUCGCCUCGCCUCGUAUGUGUGUGCGCAAGUGUGUGAGUGUGUGUAACAUAGUAUCAGGCGAUCAAACUGUUCAAUAAACUGUUUAAGACAGAUAGUCUCCCGAUCAAGACUGAGAUUCCAGAUGUUUUUAUUUAAAAAGGCUUAAAAGAGGUGCUCAACUCACGGCUGCUUUAAGAGGCUCUGCUCAGCUCGCCUCGUAUGUGUGUGCGCAAGUGUGUGAGUGUGUGUAACAUCGUAUCAGGCGAUCAAACUGUUCAAUAAACUGUUUCAGACAGAUAGUCACCCGAUCAAGACUGAGAUUCCAGAUGUUUUCAUUUAAAAAGGCUUAAAAGAGGUGCUCAACUCACGGCUGAUUUAAGAGGCUCUGCUCAGCUCGCCUCUUAUGUGUGUGCGCAAGUGUGUGAGUGUGUGUAACAUCGUAUUAGGCGAUCAAACUGUUCAAUAAACUGUUUCAGACAGAUAGUCACCCGAUCAAGACUGAGAUUCCAGAUGUUUUCAUUUAAAAAGGCUUAAAAGAGGUGCUCAACUCACGGCUGCUUUAAGAGGCUCGCCUCGCCUCGUAUGUGUGUGCGCAAGUGUGUGAGUGUGUGUAACAUCGUAUCAGGCGAUCAAACUGUUCAAUAAACUGUUUAAAACAGAUAGUCACCCGAUUAAUACUGAGAUUCUAGAUGUUUUUAUUUAAAAAGGCUUAAAAGAGGUGCUCAACUCACGGCUGCUUUAAGAGGCUCGCCUCGCCUCGCCUCGUAUGUGUGUGCGCAAGUGUGUGAGUGUGUGUAACAUCGUAUCAGGCGAUCAAACUGUUCAAUAAACUGUUUAAGACAGAUAGUCACCCGAUCAAGACUGAGAUUCCAUAUGUUUUUAUUUAAAAAGGCUUAAAAGAGGUGCUCAACUCACGGCUGCUUUAAGAGGCUCGCCUCGCCUCGUAUGUGUGUGCGCAAGUGUGUCAGUGUGUGUAACAUAGUAUCAGGCGAUCAAACUGUUCAAUAAACUGUUUAAAACAGAUAGUCACCCGAUUAAUACUGAGAUUCUAGAUGUUUUUUAUUUAAAAAGGCUUAAAAGAGGUGCUCAACUCACGGCUGCUUUAAGAGGCUCUGCUCAGCUCGCCUCGUAUGUGUGUGCGCAAGUGUGUGAGUGUGUGUAACAUCGUAUCAGGCGAUCAAACUGUUCAAUAAACUGUUUAAGACAGAUAGUCACCCGAUCAAGACUGAGAUUCCAGAUGUUUUUAUUUAAAAAGGCUUAAAAGAGGUGCUCAACUCACGGCUGCUUUAAGAGGCUCGCCUCGCCUCGCCUCGUAUGUGUGUGCGCAAGUGUGUGAGUGUGUGUAACAUCGUAUCAGGCGAUCAAACUGUUCAAUAAACUGUUUCAGACAGAUAGUCACCCGAUCAAGACUGAGAUUCCAGAUGUUUUCAUUUAAAAAGGCUUAAAAGAGGUGCUCAACUCACGGCUGCUUUAAGAGGCUCGCCUCGCCUCGCCUCGUAUGUGUGUGCGCAAGUGUGUGAGUGUGUGUAACAUCGUAUCAGGCGAUCAAACUGUUCAAUAAACUGUUUAAGACAGAUAGUCACCCGAUCAAGACUGAGAUUCCAGAUGUUUUUAUUUAAAAAGGCUUAAAAGAGGUGCUCAACUCACGGCUGCUUUAAGAGGCUCGCCUCGCCUCGUAUGUGUGUGCGCAAGUGUGUGAGUGUGUGUAACAUCGUAUCAGGCGAUCAAACUGUUCAAUAAACUGUUUAAGACAGAUAGUCACCCGAUCAAGACUGAGAUUCCAGAUGUUUUUAUUUAAAAAGGCUUAAAAGAGGUGCUCAACUCACGGCUGCUUUAAGAGGCUCGCCUCGCCUCGCCUCGUAUGUGUGUGCGCAAGUGUGUGAGUGUGUGUAACAUCGUAUCAGGCGAUCAAACUGUUCAAUAAACUGUUUAAGACAGAUAGUCACCUGAUUAAUACUGAGAUUCCAUAUGUUUUUAUUUAAAAAGGCUUAAAAGAGGUGCUCAACUCACGGCUGCUUUAAGAGGCUCGCCUCGCCUCGCCUCGUAUGUGUGUGCACAAGUAUGUGAGUGUGUGUAACAUAGUAUCAGGCGAUCAAACUGUUCAAUAAACUGUUUAAGACAGAUAGUCUCCCGAUCAAGACUGAGAUUCCAGAUGUUUUUAUUUAAAAAGGCUUAAAAGAGGUGCUCAACUCACGGCUGCUUUAAGAGGCUCUGCUCAGCUCGCCUCGUAUGUGUGUGCGCAAGUGUGUGAGUGUGUGUAACAUCGUAUUAGGCGAUCAAACUGUUCAAUAAACUGUUUCAGACAGAUAGUCACCCGAUUAAUACUGAGAUUCUAGAUGUUUUUUAUUUAAAAAGGCUUAAAAGAGGUGCUCAACUCACGGCUGCUUUAAGAGGCUCGCCUCGCCUCGCCUCGUAUGUGUGUGCGCAAGUGUGUCAGUGUGUGUAACAUCGUAUCAGGCGAUCAAACUGUUCAAUAAACUGUUUAAAACAGAUAGUCACCCGAUUAAUACUGAGAUUCUAGAUGUUUUUUAUUUAAAAAGGCUUAAAAGAGGUGCUCAACUCACGGCUGCUUUAAGAGGCUCGCCUCGCCUCGCCUCGUAUGUGUGUGCACAAGUAUGUGAGUGUGUGUAACAUAGUAUCAGGCGAUCAAACUGUUCAAUAAACUGUUUAAAACAGAUAGUCUCCCGAUCAAGACUGAGAUUCCAGAUGUUUUUAUUUAAAAAGGCUUAAAAGAGGUGCUCAACUCACGGCUGCUUUAAGAGGCUCGCCUCGCCUCGUAUGUGUGUGCGCAAGUGUGUGAGUGUGUGUAACAUCGUAUCAGGCGAUCAAACUGUUCAAUAAAAUGUUUAAAACA